rnacentral:rRNA from 1 species
UACGUAGGUGGCAAGCGUUAUCCGGAAUUAUUGGGCGUAAAGCGAGCGUAGGCGGUUGAUUAAGUCUGAUGUGAAAGCCCACAGCUCAACCGUGGAGUGGCAUUGGAAACUGGAUAACUUGAGUGGAGAAGAGGAAAGUGGAAUUCCAUGUGUAGCGGUGAAAUGCGUAGAUAUAUGGAGGAACACCAGUGGCGAAGGCGACUUUCUGGUCUGUAACUGACGCUGAUGUGCGAAAGCGUGGGGAUCAAACAGG